rnacentral:tRNA from 1 species
GAGGCGUAGCUCAGUUUGGUAGAGCGCUGCGUUCGGGACGCAGAGGCCGUGAGUUCAAGUCUCGUCGCCUCGA